ensembl:Y_RNA Y_RNA Y RNA
GGUUGGUCCGAAGGCAGUAGGUAUUUUCAAUUGAUUGCGAUGGUCAGCUUCAGAAUCCUCGUUUCUUCUCUCCCCUCUUCCUCUGCCAACCUUGACCAGCCUUUU